AGGGAGAGGGAGCAGGGAGGGGUGGGGUGGGGGGAGGCUGUCAGAAGCCUUGGAGCCCGCCUGCCUCCUGAGUGAAGCUUUGCUCAGAUGCUCACUGCCUGGGCCCCUUGAGUGUGGUUUUCCUCCCCGGCCAGCACCAAACCCCAGAAUAGUGCGGCUGACUUGCUGAUUGAGGUCAGCAGCUCCCCGGAGGCACGAGAAGCCAGAGCCUUUGCACUCAAGAGGGCCAGUAGCGAGGACAUGCUCAACAAACCGGGAAGUACCGCCGCUUCCGGGGUGGUUCGACUGAAAAAGACUUCAACAGCUGGAGCCAUCUCUGAGCUUGCAGAGAGCCGCCUGCGGAGCAACCCAGUUAAGGAAAGGGAACGUUCCAUGCCAGCUGCACCUUGGUCAAGCUCUGUGUUAAUGCUCACGGACUCUCAGACAUCUCAGAGGACAUUCCAGCAUCAAAGCAGGCUCGCAUCCAAAAAGGCAUCCGUGUCCUCGCCUGCCCACGUGCCUAUCCGUUCCCGGUUACCUGCAUCAGACACAGCAUACCUGCGGCUCCAGCCUAAGAUGCUUGUUCUCUUUGAUGUGGGAAGGCACUAACGCCACUAACUCAGAAGGUGGGCAGUCUUAUUGCCAAGUUACAUGCGAAGA